rnacentral:rRNA from 1 species
UUGGAGGGCAAGUCUGGUGCCAGCAGCCGCGGUAAUUCCAGCUCCAAUAGCGUAUAUUAAAGUUGUUGCAGUUAAAAAGCUCGUAGUUGAAUUUUAGGCCUGGUUGGACGGUCUGCUCUAGGGUUUGUACUGUCCUGACUGGGUCUUACCUUCUGGUGAGCUGUCGUAUUGUUUACUCAGUGCGGCAGGGAACCAGGACUUUUACUUUGAAAAAAUUAGAGUGUUUAAAGCAGGCAUUCGCUUGAAUACAUUAGCAUGGAAUAAUAGAAUAGG